rnacentral:lncRNA from 1 species
UCAUCAUUUAUGGGAUGAAGCUUGGUUCCGGGAAUGGAGGGGCAUGGAGAGCCUGUACCGCCUUGCUUUUACGUUUUCCAAGCACCAACCAGGAUGUUGAAUAUCGGGAGCCUGGAGCAGGGGCAGAGAGGAGCCCAGGAAUCCCCCCCCCCACCCCAGCUCUGACACGGCUCUAACCCCAAAGCCAGUUUCCCACGCAGCCAUGUCUCUGGUGUGACCUGCGCUGGCUUGUCUGCAACUUCAGCUCACUGUUCAUAACAUCUUGGCACAGGGACCAGUGACAGCACAGAACCCACAGAUGGAUCUGUCAUCAGAUUUUAAGUCUUCC